AUUAUUACCUGUAUCCACUGAGUGAUGGACGCCGUGCGCCAUCCCCAUCAUAAUAGAGUAUGCCAUCAUCCGGUUACUUCCGCAUUAGCAGGAGAGGAGCUUAAUGGAAACAGAAGUCUAUCUGAUGGCUUGAUCUUCAAGGAUAGAAGCAACUGCUGUUAUUGUAUUUAAGUAUUUUGCAUUUCCUGUCAAUCAAUAAUUAUUAACAAA